UACGGGGGGGGGCAAGCGUUGUUCGGAAUUACUGGGCGUAAAGGGCUCGUAGGCGGCCAACUAAGUCAGACGUGAAAUCCCUCGGCUCAACCGGGGAACUGCGUCUGAUACUGGAUGGCUUGAAUCCGGGAGAGGGAUGCGGAAUUCCAGGUGUAGCGGUGAAAUGCGUAGAUAUCUGGAGGAACACCGGUGGCGAAGGCGGCAUCCUGGACCGGUAUUGACGCUGAGGAGCGAAAGCCAGGGGAGCAAACGGG
rnacentral:rRNA from 1 species